UGCGGCGGUCAUGGCGUGGGGGAAACGCCCGGAACCAUUCCGAACCCGGAAGCUAAGCCCCACAGCGCCGAUGGUACUGCACCUGGGAGGGUGUGGGAGAGUAGGACACCACCGCAA
rnacentral:rRNA from 1 species